rnacentral:rRNA from 1 species
GACGAACGCUGGCGGCGUGCCUAAUACAUGCAAGUAGAACGCUGAAGGAGGAGCUUGCUUCUCUGGAUGAGUUGCGAACGGGUGAGUAACGCGUAGGUAACCUGCCUGGUAGCGGGGGAUAACUAUUGGAAACGAUAGCUAAUACCGCAUAAUAGUAGAUGUUGCACGACAUUUGCUUAAAAGGUGCAAUUGCAUCACUACCAGAUGGACCUGCGUUGUAUUAGCUAGUUGGUGGGGUAACGGCUCACCAAGGCGACGAUACAUAGCCGACCUGAGAGGGUGAUCGGCCACACUGGGACUGAGACACGGCCCAGACUCCUACGGGAGGCAGCAGUAGGGAAUCUUCGGCAAUGGACGGAAGUCUGACCGAGCAACGCCGCGUGAGUGAAGAAGGUUUUCGGAUCGUAAAGCUCUGUUGUAAGAGAAGAACGAGUGUGAGAGUGGAAAGUUCACACUGUGACGGUAUCUUACCAGAAAGGGACGGCUAACUACGUG